AAUGAUUGGUGCUGAGCUGCCGGUCACAAGCACACCGGCACCCAAGUGGUGUCGGGAGCGUACGGUGUCAGUUGAGUGACACUGGAGAGACUAUCUUAAUAGUUUUGCAGAUAAAGAUUCUCAAGUGGGAUGUGCACCCCGGGGCGACCAUGUUGUCAGUGUGCACAGGUUGGUUAGUUUUCAAUCUACUUCGAGCACAUUGAUCGUGUGGACUCAGUUGUUUGUUAUUUUACAUCCCAUGUCAGGCUCCACAAUGGCAUCCAUUUGCUCGUACUGCGGUUACCCUAUCAUUGCAGAAACGGUUUACAACAAAUGUAGCUGCUGUGACAAAUUAUUUCACAUCCAAUGCACCCAGCUUCCUGCUACACUCGCCAACGAAGUAAGACGGCGUAUCGAUUUACAUUGGAGUUGCAGUCGAUGCACUACUGUCUUAAAUAUGCCUCACAGUAUACCACUUACGGCGGCUUUACGUGCGGUACAGCCUCAAACAGAAGCAUCGCAGCGCAUACACUCCUCAGUAAACAACUCUCAGCUGUCUCAGAAACGGCAUACCACCGUCACCGCCACCAGCGCAACAUCCUUCCCUCGCACCAUCAUCGGUACCAGCUUAAACUGCACGGCACUGCCUGUUGCUCACAAAUCAUGCCCACCGGCUUCAUCCCGUGCAUGGCUUCAUCUAUCCGGAUUGGAUAAUAGCGUUACUAGCGAGCACGUUACUUCCGCCGUUGCGUCGCUGCUGGGGAGCGACGAUAUAAUUGUCUUUAGUUUGCUGCGAAAAGGUGACGAUGCCGCUACCGUACGUUCGCUCUCGUUUAAAGUAGGCAUCCCGGGUACGCUCCGGGGCAAAGCUUUCCUGCCCAACACUUGGCCACUGGGAUUGCAAGUGAGAGAGUUUGUGUGCGGCAAUGGUUCAAGCACUACGCCGCCACCUUCCAGUGGCAUGGAUGAGCCGGGGCUCAAAAAGCAGUGCCAAUCACAACCUGUCGCAGCACGCGCCGUUCGUAUGCCGCGUACGGCGAGGCGCAAAGAAGCUCCGCGAGAGGUGGCUGCUAAUCAGCCAACGUUGGAGCGAUUUUUUCUUACACAGGCGCGGCACGACGCAGUCAAUGAUAAGGAUUAGGCAGGGGCUUGGGACGUGGUUUUGAAUUGAGAGGUUUGUUGUUGUCUUUGAAAAGCGUUGAGAUCUUGCAAGAGAAAAUACACAUGUUGGAUUUGUUUUUACUUCUUAAUUAUCUUCCCUGUUAUUUUAUGAAUAAAAUGUAAUUAACAUCGCA